rnacentral:rRNA from 1 species
UACGGAGGGUGCAAGCGUUAUCCGGAUUCACUGGGUUUAAAGGGUGCGUAAGUGGGCAGGUAAGUCAGUGGUGAAAUCUCCGGGCUUAACCCGGAAACUGCCGUUGAUACUAUCUGUCUUGAAUAUAGUGGAGGUGAGCGGAAUAUGUCAUGUAGCGGUGAAAUGCUUAGAUAUGACAUAGAACACCCAUUGCGAAGGCAGCUCGCUACACUAUCAUUGACACUGAGGCACGAAAGCGUGGGGAUCAAACAGG